rnacentral:rRNA from 1 species
GAUGAACGCUGGCGGUAUGCUUAACACAUGCAAGUCGAACGGACUCUUCGGAGUUAGUGGCGGACGGGUGAGUAACGCGUGAGAAUCUGGCUUUGGGUUCGGGACAACCACUGGAAACGGUGGCUAAUACCGGAUGUGCCGAGAGGUAAAAGAGAAAUUGCCUGAAGAUGAGCUCGCGUCUGAUUAGCUAGUUGGUGAGGUAAAGGCUCACCAAGGCAGCGAACAGUAGCUGGUCUGAGAGGAUGACCAGCCACACUGGGACUGAGACACGGCCCAGACUCCUACGGGAGGCAGCAGUGGGGAAUUUUCCGCAAUGGGCGAAAGCCUGACGGAGCAAUACCGCGUGAGGGAAGAAGGCUCUUGGGUUGUAAACCUCUUUUCUUAGGGAAGAACAAAAUGACGGUACCUAAGGAAUCAGCAUCGGCUAACUCCGUG